rnacentral:rRNA from 1 species
UACGGAAGGCAGCAGUGGGGAAUAUUGCACAAUGGGCGCAAGCCUGAUGCAGCCAUGCCGCGUGUAUGAAGAAGGCCUUCGGGUUGUAAAGUACUUUCAGUCGUGAGGAAGGUGUUAAGGUUAAUAACCUUAGCAAUUGACGUUAGCGACAGAAGAAGCACCGGCUAACUCCGUGCCAGCAGCCGCGGUAAUACGGAGGGUGCGAGCGUUAAUCGGAAUUGCUGGGCGUAAAGGGCACGCAGGCGGUUAAUUAAGUUGGAUGUGAAAUCCCCGGGCUUAACCUGGGAAUGGCAUUCAAGACUGGUUAGCUAGAGUCUUGUAGAGGGGGUAGAAUUCCAUGUGUAGCGGUGAAAUGCGUAGAGAUGUGGAGGAAUACCGGUGGCGAAGGCGGCCCCUGGGACAAAGACUGACGCUCAUGUGCGAAAGCGUGGGGAGCAAACAGGAUUAGAUACC